UACCUUCAAUGUAAAAACUGACGUUAAGGGACGAAGGCUUGUAACAAAUAAUAGGAUUAGAUACCCUAGUAUUUUGAGCAGAAAAUGAUGAGUGUCAUAUACAAGAUAAAAGUUUGUAUAUAAAUGAAAGUGUAAGCACUCCACCUCAAGAGUAACGUGGCAACAUGGGAACUGAAAUCAUUAGACCGUUUCUGAAACUCGUAGUGAAGUAUGUUGUUUAAUUUGAUGGCCCUCAAAUAACCUUACCACAAUUUGUAUAACUAUUGUAAGAUAGUAACAAGCGUUGCACGGCUGUCUUCAGUCAAUGUUGUGAAACUUUGGUUAGAUCCAUUUAAUUGACGUAAACCCUUACUUUAUUUUAUUUAAAGUAGUUCGCCGCUAUAUUGGUAGUGAUAUAUGGGACUAGGACAAGUCAUCAU
rnacentral:rRNA from 1 species